UACGGAGGGUGCAAGCGUUGUUCGGAAUCACUGGGCGUAAAGGGCGUGUAGGCGGUCCGCUAAGUCUGAUGUGAAAGCCCGGGGCUCACCCCCGGAAGGGCAUUGGAAACUGGCGGACUCGAGUCCCUGAGAGGAAGGUGGAAUUCCUGGUGUAGCGGUGAAAUGCGUAGAUAUCAGGAGGAAUACCGGUGGCGAAGGCGGCCUUCUGGACGGUGACUGACGCUGAGACGCGAAAGCGUGGGGAGCAAACAGG
rnacentral:rRNA from 1 species